rnacentral:rRNA from 1 species
AUUGAACGCUGGCGGCAUGCCUUACACAUGCAAGUCGAACGGUAACAGGCCGCAAGGUGCUGACGAGUGGCGAACGGGUGAGUAAUACAUCGGAACGUGCCCGAGAGUGGGGGAUAACGGAGCGAAAGCUUUGCUAAUACCGCAUACGAUCUACGGAUGAAAGCAGGGGACCGCAAGGCCUUGUGCUCAUGGAGCGGCCGAUGGCAGAUUAGGUAGUUGGUGGGAUAAAAGCUUACCAAGCCGACGAUCUGUAGCUGGUCUGAGAGGACGACCAGCCACACUGGGACUGAGACACGGCCCAGACUCCUACGGGAGGCAGCAGUGGGGAAUUUUGGACAAUGGGCGAAAGCCUGAUCCAGCCAUGCCGCGUGCAGGAUGAAGGCCUUCGGGUUGUAAACUGCUUUGUACGGAACGAAAAGACUCUGGUUAAUACCUGGGGUCCAUGACGGUACCGUAAGAAUAAGCACGGCUAACUACGUGCCAGCAGCCG